rnacentral:pre_miRNA from 1 species
UAGAGGUGGAGCGUGUUACUUGGCCAAGAAUGACUUGCCUACAUGACAGACGUGAUUAGAAUGGCAACUAACUGAACUUUUUUCCAUUCAUUUAGAGUGCUGUUUUGUGAGCAAGUCAUUCUGGCCAACCAACCCGUUGUUCUUUUG